rnacentral:rRNA from 1 species
UACGUAGGGGGCUAGCGUUGUCCGGAUUUAUUGGGCGUAAAGAGCGUGUAGGCGGCCAGGUAGGUCUGCUGUGAAAACUCGAGGCUCAACCUCGAGACGUCGGCGGAAACCAUCUGGCUAGAGUCCGGAAGAGGAGAGUGGAAUUCCUGGUGUAGCGGUGAAAUGCGCAGAUAUCAGGAAGAACACCCGUGGCUAAGGCGACUUCCUGGCCUGUUCUUGACGCUGAGGCGCGAAAGCUAGGGGAGCAAACGGG